UACGGAAGGCAGCAGUGGGGAAUAUUGCACAAUGGGCGCAAGCCUGAUGCAGCCAUGCCGCGUGUAUGAAGAAGGCCUUCGGGUUGUAAAGUACUUUCAGUCGUGAGGAAGGUGUUAAGGUUAAUAACCUUAGCAAUUGACGUUAGCGACAGAAGAAGCACCGGCUAACUCCGUGCCAGCAGCCGCGGUAAUACGGAGGGUGCGAGCGUUAAUCGGAAUUACUGGGCGUAAAGGGCACGCAGGCGGUUAAUUAAGUUGGAUGUGAAAUCCCCGGGCUUAACCUGGGAAUGGCAUUCAAGACUGGUUAGCUAGAGUCUUGUAGAGGGGGUAGAAUUCCAUGUGUAGCGGUGAAAUGCGUAGAGAUGUGGAGGAAUACCGGGUGGCGAAGGCGGCCCCUGGGACAAAGACUGACGCUCAUGUGCGAAAGCGUGGGGAGCAAACGAGGAUUAGAUACC
rnacentral:rRNA from 1 species